rnacentral:snRNA from 1 species
AAUACAAUUAUACAAUAUUAAG